AUUGAACGCUGGCGGCAGGCCUAACACCUGCAAGUCGAACGAGUGGCGGACGGGUGAGUAAUGUCUGGGAAACUGCCUGAUGGAGGGGGAUAACUACUGAAAACGGUAGCUAAUACCGCAUACCAUCAGAUGUGCCCAGAUGGGAUUAGCUAGUUGGUGGGGGAACGGCUCACCAAUGCGACGAUCCCUAGCUGGUCUGAGAGGAUGAUCGGCCACUGUGGAACUGAGACACGGUCCAGACUCGUACGUGAGGCAGCAGUGGGGAAUAUUGCACAAUGGGCGCAAGCCUGAUGCAGCCAUGCCGCGUGUAUGAAGAAGGCCUUCGGGUUGUAAAGUACUGUCAGCGGGGAGGCGUUACCCACAGAAGAAGCACCGGCUAACUCCGUGCCAGCAGCGGCGGUAAUAC
rnacentral:rRNA from 1 species